rnacentral:tRNA from 1 species
GACCAGAUAGCUCAGUUGGUAGAGUGUCUGGGUAUCAUCUAGUAGGCCCUGGGUUCAAUCCCCAGUCUGGUCA